rnacentral:rRNA from 1 species
GAGUCUUAACUGGGCGUUAAGUUGCAGGGUAUAGACCCGAAACCCGGUGAUCUAGCCAUGGGCAGGUUGAAGGUUGGGUAACACUAACUGGAGGACCGAACCGACUAAUGUUGAAAAAUUAGCGGAUGACUUGUGGCUGGGGGUGAAAGGCCAAUCAAACCGGGAGAUAGCUGGUUCUCCCCGAAAGCUAUUUAGGUAGCGCCUCGUGAAUUCAUCUCCGGGGGUAGAGCACUGUUUCGGCAAGGGGGUCAUCCCGACUUACCAACCCGAUGCAAACUGCGAAUACCGGAGAAUGUUAUCACGGGAGACACACGGCGGGUGCUAACGUCCGUCGUGAAGAGGGAAACAACCCAGACCGCCAGCUAAGGUCCCAAAGUCAUGGUUAAGUGGGAAACGAUGUGGGAAGGCCCAGACAGCCAGGAUGUUGGCUUAGAAGCAGCCAUCAUUUAAAGAAAGCGUAAUAGCUCACUGGUCGAGUCGGCCUGCGCGGAAGAUGUAACGGGGCUAAACCAUGCACCGAAGCUGCGGCAGCGACACUGUGUGUUGUUGGGUAGGGGAGCGUUCUGUAAGCCUGUGAAGGUGUGCUGUGAGGCAUGCUGGAGGUAUCAGAAGUGCGAAUGCUGACAUAAGUAACGAUAAAGCGGGUGAAAAGCCCGCUCGCCGGAAGACCAAGGGUUCCUGUCCAACGUUAAUCGGGGCAGGGUGAGUCGACCCCUAAGGCGAGGCCGAAAGGCGUAGUCGAUGGGAAACAGGUUAAUAUUCCUGUACUUGGUGUUACUGCGAAGGGGGGACGGAGAAGGCUAUGUUGGCCGGGCGACGGUUGUCCCGGUUUAAGCGUGUAGGCUGGUUUUCCAGGCAAAUCCGGAAAAUCAAGGCUGAGGCGUGAUGACGAGGCACUACGGUGCUGAAGCAACAAAUGCCCUGCUUCCAGGAAAAGCCUCUAAGCAUCAGGUAACAUCAAAUCGUACCCCAAACCGACACAGGUGGUCAGGUAGAGAAUACCAAGGCGCUUGAGAGAACUCGGGUGAAGGAACUAGGCAAAAUGGUGCCGUAACUUCGGGAGAAGGCACGCUGAUAUGUAGGUGAAGUCCCUCGCGGAUGGAGCUGAAAUCAGUCGAAGAUACCAGCUGGCUGCAACUGUUUAUUAAAAACACAGCACUGUGCAAACACGAAAGUGGACGUAUACGGUGUGACGCCUGCCCGGUGCCGGAAGGUUAAUUGAUGGGGUCAGCGCAAGCGAAGCUCUUGAUCGAAGCCCCGGUAAACGGCGGCCGUAACUAUAACGGUCCUAAGGUAGCGAAAUUCCUUGUCGGGUAAGUUCCGACCUGCACGAAUGGCGUAAUGAUGGCCAGGCUGUCUCCACCCGAGACUCAGUGAAAUUGAACUCGCUGUGAAGAUGCAGUGUACCCGCGGCAAGACGGAAAGACCCCGUGAACCUUUACUAUAGCUUGACACUGAACAUUGAGCCUUGAUGUGUAGGAUAGGUGGGAGGCUUUGAAGUGUGGACGCCAGUCUGCAUGGAGCCGACCUUGAAAUACCACCCUUUAAUGUUUGAUGUUCUAACGUGGACCCGUGAUCCGGGUUGCGGACAGUGUCUGGUGGGUAGUUUGACUGGGGCGGUCUCCUCCUAAAGAGUAACGGAGGAGCACGAAGGUUGGCUAAUCCUGGUCGGACAUCAGGAGGUUAGUGCAAUGGCAUAAGCCAGCUUGACUGCGAGCGUGACGGCGCGAGCAGGUGCGAAAGCAGGUCAUAGUGAUCCGGUGGUUCUGAAUGGAAGGGCCAUCGCUCAACGGAUAAAAGGUACUCCGGGGAUAACAGGCUGAUACCGCCCAAGAGUUCAUAUCGACGGCGGUGUUUGGCACCUCGAUGUCGGCUCAUCACAUCCUGGGGCUGAAGUAGGUCCCAAGGGUAUGGCUGUUCGCCAUUUAAAGUGGUACGCGAGCUGGGUUUAGAACGUCGUGAGACAGUUCGGUCCCUAUCUGCCGUGGGCGCUGGAGAACUGAGGGGGGCUGCUCCUAGUACGAGAGGACCGGAGUGGACGCAUCACUGGUGUUCGGGUUGUCAUGCCAAUGGCACUGCCCGGUAGCUAAAUGCGGAAGAGAUAAGUGCUGAAAGCAUCUAAGCACGAAACUUGCCCCGAGAUGAGUUCUCCCUGACCCUUUAAGGGUCCUGAAGGAACGUUGAAGACGACGACGUUGAUAGGCCGGGUGUGUAAGCGCAGCGAUGCGUUGAGCUAACCGGUACUAAUGAACCGUGAGGCUUAACCUUACAACGCCGAAGGUGUUU